rnacentral:misc_RNA from 1 species
UCAAUAGAAAUCUUUCAAACCCGAAAGAUCUUUUCCUUUGUGCUGUCUUUGACCGUAUGUAAUUUUGGGACUUCAAAAUGGUUUCGUUGGUAAGACAACGGAGCCGGUCCCAAAGAACACAAAUAUCUCAUCCUUAUGAAAAAUAUUCUGAACUUAUAAACAAGUGAUUUUAAAAUAAUCUGUUUAAAA